UACGUAGGGGGCUAGCGUUGUCCGGAAUCAUUGGGCGUAAAGCGCGUGUAGGCGGUCCGGUAAGUCCGCUGUGAAAGUCGGGGGCUCAACCCUCGGAUGCCGGUGGAUACUGUCGGGCUUGAGUACGGAAGAGGCGAGUGGAAUUCCUGGUGUAGCGGUGGAAAUGCGCAGAUAUCAGGAGGAACACCAAUUGCGAAGGCAGCUCGCUGGGACGUUACUGACGCUGAGACGCGAAAGCGUGGGGAGCAAACAGG
rnacentral:rRNA from 1 species